CAUGAUUCUCUACACUUUCAAUCCAGUUAUUAAGAUUAAGUAUAGUUCAGUGUUGAAAAUGUAGUAUUCAACUAUCAGUCAUUUAGUUAAUCAGAUAAGUUAGUAUAUUUAUGAAUUUGUGCUCAACGCCCAUGGGAAUACUUUUAGUAGUCUCAGGUGAAGUUUCAUAAUAAGGUAGAGAGUGUAGUUGAAAGAGUGUCAGAUAAAAGCUCCAGUUGAGAAU
rnacentral:lncRNA from 1 species